rnacentral:piRNA from 1 species
GACUACAUUGAAUUUCUCUUCUUCCU